GAUGAACGCUGGCGGCGUGCCUAAUACAUGCAAGUCGAGCGAACAGGUGAGGAGCUUGCUCCUCUGACGUUAGCGGCGGACGGGUGAGUAACACGUGGAUAACCUACCUAUAAGACUGGGAUAACUACGGGACACCGGAGCUAAUACCGGAUAAUAUAUUGAACCGCAUGGUUCAAUAGUGAAAGACGGUUUUGCUGUCACUUAUCGAUGGAUCCGCGCCGCAUUAGCUAGUUGGUAAGGUAACGGCUUACCAAGGCAACGAUGCGUAGCCGAGCUGAGAGGGGGAUCGGCCACAUGGGAACGGAGACACGGUCAAGGCUCCUGCGGGAGGCAGCAGUAGGGAAUCGGCCGCAAUGGGCGAAAGCCUGGCGGAGCGGCGCGGCGUGAGUGAUGAAGGUCUUCGGAUCGUAAAACUCGGUUAUGAGGGAAGAACAAAUGUGUAAGUAACUAUGCACGUCGUGACGGUACCGAAUCAGAAAGCCACGGCUAACUACGUG
rnacentral:rRNA from 1 species